AGAUUCAUCUUGGUUUCAAGUAGUGGUGUUCCUAACGGCUAUAUUUUUAUAGCGCGCUAGAUGGAAUACGCUACAUUUUUCAAGCGCGCUAGUUUUGA